CUCGCUUCAUAUUUUGGUUUAAGUGCUUCCAUUCUGCCAACUGUCUUGUUGGGUGAGCACAAUACACUUUUACUAAUUACUGCUUUGGUGAUUCAUCUGUUUCACUUCUGUUAUUCCUGAACUUUUGACAUUCCACAGGAUCAGAAGUGAGAUCCAAAGAAACCCGCCAAUGACUCAGGCUGCCAUGCAACUAAAGCUGGAUAACUUGAUAUACACUUCAAAGAAAUCAGCACAACAGCUCAUGUGUGGACAAUCUCCAUGCCUACUGCUAUGCAGCCACUCAGAGCUCACCAGAGACAUUCACAGUGCAAACCAGGAAUGUGUCAGAUCGCCGCUGCCUGCCUUCACUCCAUCUAAAGAUGCUUAGAACCCGACAUCUAGAAAUCUUCUCAACUGGCUGCUCUCCAAACUCAGAAACUGAAUUUAUAAUUUGCUUAAACUAUUAACCUUUGUUUUUCUUCUGUUUCCAUAGAAAUGCCUCUCAUUAAAUUACCUGAUUGCUCACAUCAGAAUGAGACCUAAAGCAGGUGAAAAUUCACCUGCAACACUGCCUCCUGAAAUACAACAUCCUCAUAUUCAUCCUGUCCUAAGUAAUCAUGAGGAUAUGUGUUUGCCGAGACAUCGUGUUAUGCCUAUAACCCAUUUGAGUUAUUCAACUGGUUAAAUUUCGGUGUCUACAGUCUCAGCUCUGGGGAAUUUCUUAAUCUGUGGCUAUUGUUCUCCCUAUAGUCAUCAUAUUAAUCUCACUAGCGUAUCGUAUACUCUCUCAGGUUUUAAACACCUGUCAGUCCCCACUCACAUGCCACAUGGUAUUCACAAAGGAUUAGGCAACUGGAUGGAAUCAACAAUAACUACACAAAUGAUGAAGAUAGUGACUACAUGGCCCUCUGGCCUGACUACUCAACUCAUGGAAACAGCAGAUAUAUGAUUCUUUGGCCUGAUUACAUCAACAGUGGUAAGGAGAAUAACGUGAUACCAGUUGGUCAUACUCUCAACCUGCUGAGAGAAUGACCAAAAGGGAGGGAAUUCUCGAAACGAAAACCAAACUAGAGACGAGCCUUGAAAAUUCCCUGAGCAGACAAAACCAGGUUAGUCAUACAAACAGAGCUGAAGUCAGCUUAUUUUGCAAGACUAACUUGACCUAGGUCAUUUCUUGCUUUUGCUUCUGGAAAUCAUAAGCAAAACUUGAUCUGUUCCCCAAGGUUGAUAUGAAGUAACCACUGACCAAUUAUUUAUCACUUAAGAAAAUUCUAAUAUUAUAACCCUUGUGAAGAAUAAACAGUCAGUGCUUUCUCACUAUAUAAGCUUCUUACCACAAUAUACCCCUGAGCCCCACUUCAUGUUUUGGUUUGAGUACUCCUGGUCUGCAAACUGUCUUUUUGUGGUGUGCACAAUAAACUUUUACUAAUUACUACUUC